rnacentral:rRNA from 1 species
GACGAACGCUGGCGGCGUGCUUAACACAUGCAAGUCGAACGGAAAGGCCCUGCUUUUGUGGGGUGCUCGAGUGGCGAACGGGUGAGUAACACGUGAGUAACCUGCCCUUGACUUUGUGAUAACUUCUGGAAACUGGGGCUAAUACCGGAUAUGAGCUCCUGCUGCAUGGUGGUGGUUGGAAAGUUUCGGCGGUUGGGGCUGGACUCGCGGCUUAUCAGCUUGUUGGUGGGGUAGUGGCUUACCAAGGCUUUGACGGGUAGCCGGCCUGAGAGGGUGACCGGCCACAUUGGGACUGAGAUAGGGCCCAGAAGCCUACGGGAGGCAGAAGUGGGGAAUAUUGCACAAUGGGCGGAAGCCUGAUGCAGCAACGCCGCGUGCGGGAUGACGGCCUUCGGGUUGUAAACCGAUUUCGCAUGUGACGAAGCGUGAGUGACGGUAAUGGGUAAAGAAGCACCGGCUAACUACGUG